AUGGAGAUCUUUGGUGCCUCCGGCAUCCUUAAUUUACUGACAUUUCCUGAAAUUAUGUGUACCAUCGGUUUGUUACUUCUGUUUCCUCUGACACUGACAUUCCUGUGGAAAGCAGAAGUUCGUGCCCUAAGGAGACAAUUCAAAUUGAGAGAAUCUCAGCUAACUGAACAAGUUACCAGUCUGCUUGAGGAGAAGUGUGAUUCCAUGGCAAAGAUAACCGAACAGAACUCAACGAUCCAACAACUCCAGAAACAGAUAAACGUGGGCGCCCAAUCCCAACACGGCCUACAGCAGGACAACGAGGAGCUGCAGAUGAUUGCCAAGUUGUUUCGAGAUGAAAAUGAGAAUAGUAGGGAGAAGGUCAAACUACUUAAAAAGGACAUUUCAGAAAAGGAACAAAGAAUCGUGGAUCUGAAAUUCAUCAUGGCAUCAAUGGGACAAGAUAUGCGGGAGAAGUCGACGAAGAUCUUUGCGCUGGAGAGAGCUCUGGUGGCAGAGAGGACAGAUAUCGUCCGUCUGCGUCAGAGACUGGUAGAAACCACAGACCUGCUGGUGCUUCUCAAGAAUUCCAGUUUGGCACUGUUUCCUCGUUUGUUUGUUGAUCAUCAGAGGUCCCGCAGUCAGAAAUGCAACAACUCAGCCAUAUUCAAAGACAUUCUCCACGAGCUGGCCUCGGAGGAUUUGAGGAUCUCUGCUGAUGUUAGCAUCAGACCAGGCUAAUCUACAAUUCCAGUUGGCACCUCAACCAUGAAUCCUUCCUGCAUGACCACCCGGCUAUGACUCUGACUUACGAUUUAUGAUUUAUGACUCUGGCUUACGAUUUAUGACUUAUGACUCUUGCUUACGAUUUAUGACUUAUGACUCUGGCUAUACGAUUUACAAUUUAUGACUUAAGGUCGACAGAAAAUUAUCUUUCUCACAAAUAAAUGGCAUUUAAUGAAAGGCA
rnacentral:lncRNA from 1 species